UACGGAGGGUGCAAGCGUUAAUCGGAAUUACUGGGCGUAAAGCGCGCGUAGGCGGCAUGUUAAGUCGGAUGUGAAAUCCCAGGGCUUAACCUUGGAACUGCAUCCGAAACUGGCAAGCUAGAGAUCGGUAGAGGUUGGUGGAAUUCCCGGUGUAGCGGUGAAAUGCGUAGAUAUCGGGAGGAACAUCGAUGGCGAGGCAGCCAAACUGGGCCUGAUCUGACGCUGAGGUACGAAAGCGUGGGGAGCAAACAGGAUUAGAUACCCGCGUAGUCC
rnacentral:rRNA from 1 species